UUUAUAAUUCUAUUAAAUAUUACACUCAAUGAGAGAAUUCCAAAUAUUUUUAGAUAUUUUCUAAAGAUAAUUCUGUAUAAAAUCUCAAAAGUAUAUAUAAAAGUCAUGUAUUAUUUAUAUAUCGGGUUGGUUCAAAUUUUUUUUCUCAAUACCAAGUCAAAUCAAACUAAGUUUUAUUGAACUUUUUUAAUCAAUUUAAUUUGACUUUUCGAUUUGGUACGAUUUUCUUGAAUCCAUACGUGCGUUAUGCGAUAAAGAUAGGGGGGAAAAGAGGAAAUAUCUAAUUUAAGGGUUGAUAUUCGAGGUUGAUAACUUGAUAUUCGUGCGGAAAUCUUUCUACAAUCACAAUCCCUGAUUAUUUUCUUUAUUUCAUUUCUGAAUCUCUUCUUUCUAAUGACCCAAGAAACUUUGAUGAUCUUGGAGAAGCCUUUACAAAUCCAUUAGGAAAGAAAAGUAGACAACAAAAGCAAACUGAAAUACUUGUCUUAUAAUUAACUAAAUACCAUGUAUGAUCUUUUAGUAAUUAGCCUUAUAAACAAAGUCUUGUGUUAUCAUUAAUCAGAUUGCUUGAUUUUGCCUCUGCUUUGAUAUAGGAGCUAAGAUAAUAGAGGAAGAAGAAAUGGCCGUACUUUUGGUGUUGGUGAUAGGUUUGGCCUGUGGUUCUGAAUCAUCUAAAGUUUCCUCAUCACUCUUUCUUGUGUUGUCCAAGAGAUUUAUUUGCUGUGUUUUGCUGUCUCUGUGUAUUGUAUUCUGAGGAGGGAAGAAGAAAUCUGUUGGAAAAAAGUUGUAUUGAAGGCCAGCCAUGAGCAACUGCUAAAAUCCUUGUGUUUUUCUUGCUUCUUGUGAGUCAAAUUGUUAUGGCUGCUCUCUUAUUUAUAGACUCACAUUUACAAAUUUAAGACUGUGGCAAAGGAUCCAAAGAAGAGGGUGGGCCAGGUGGGUACCAAGUUUGUGAAGCAAUUAGAAAAAUAUAUUGUAUGAAAUGUAAUAAUUUUUCAAAAAUAACGUGACACGUCAAAUAUAUACAUCGUAUUUAU
rnacentral:lncRNA from 1 species